AGGUCUGAAAUUGGGGAAGAUGAGAAGAAUGGAGCUGGAGUUUGGCUGCAGAUCCUUUCGGUGGGUAUUGAUCAAGGUCAUAGGCACGUUGGAGUGGGUACAGAGAACUAGCUUCUCAAAGGUUUAUUUGGAUAAUUAGCUCAAUUCAAGUUUUUGUGACAGUCUAAAGAGAAUCAAAGAGGGUCUACAUUGGAGGCUUUUAUAAAAAUUGGUUGCAGCUCCUACAUUUUGAUUGUUAGUUCCCCAACAAUCUAUCCAAGUUGGAUUUGUUGCCAUGUUCAAGGUAUGCCUCCCUUUCUGUAUUUACAUUUCAGCUAGGGUUGUGGGAUUCAUUUUAUUGAGUAGUGAAAAGAGUGACAUUUGACUCUU